UUCCCUCGUCUAUUCACCGUUAGAUCUUUAUCAAAUGGCUUAGAAUCACACCGUUGUUCCUUUUCCUUUUACAAAAGCAUGCCGUCAUCUUAUUUUCCAUGUUGGUAAAUCAACCCACUCGUAGGCCCAUAACAAAAAACCUAUACACAAUGAUGGAGACAUCCCUUCAAUGAACAUCAACAAUAUCAUCCACCAACAACAGCAAGAGAAUGGAGGGAAGCUAUAGUUCUAUUGUUUAAGUGUUUUUCUUUUGGGUAAGUAAGUAAGUAAGUGAGUGCACGCAACAAAAACAAAAACGGUUGUAACUAACUUAAUGCAAAUGCAAAUUUAGAGAGGUUGGAUUUUGUAACGGCUUUUGCGUUGCAUGCGGUAAUUGGUUGCAAAUUGCAAUGACGAAGUUGUUCAACGUUUCCACUGCAGCUACUAAUAUGGGUUUCAAUAUUUCUCAGGAAUUCUUCUUCUUCUUCUUCAGCCACAAAUUCCAAGGUGUAUGUUUCUAUUUCUCUUCCCUUUUUCUUAUUCUUCUUAAUUUCACAACAACAACACACCGAUAUCCAAUGAACUUUGUUUGAAUCUUUUUGGAAUCCGAUGAUCUUUUUUUGUUUGUGAGCUAGGUUGUUGUUUUGAUUUGUUAAUCUCAAAAUUCUUUCAUUCUUUUCUGCAUAUAAUAACUUCAUAUUCUUUUGUUGUUAUAUAAUUAUUACUAUUACUGCCACUCACAAUUACAUUCACAUUCACAAUUCACAGUAACAGAUUCAAUUCAUUCAUAUAUAGGAACACUUUUGUUUGAAUUUGUAAAGAAAGAAAAAACAAUACAGUUUGAUUGGAUUUGUUUUUGGAAUUUAUACAUUCAUCGGAUUCCUUUUUUUUAAUCGGACAUUAUUGAAAUUGAAACAAUGUUUUCACACACACACAUAGAUUGUUGUCAUCACACACUGCAUUUUCUCUCCUUUUUUUGUAACAUACACAUGCAAAUUGAGUUUUAGGGGAAACAAAAACAAAACCAAAAUUUCUUCCACAUUUGAUCAAGUUAUUACUUAUUGCUAAAUUGGGUGAUCUUGCAUCUCCCCGGGGAACCUCUAUAAGCCGCAUUUGACUUGACAAUGUGAUAUUGUUAUUUGGUGGUGAAAGAGCUUUUGACUUGACAAUGUGAUAUUUGAAAUUGACUCAAAAAUUGUUAUGGUUAGUUUCUACUCACUAAACUCAAAUGUUAAUAAAUUUGGUGUUGCUAUACUCGAUUGAAUGACUUUUAUUUUCUCAUAAAUUAAAACUCUAGAUCAAUUGAGUUUGUUAAAAAGGAGACAAUCAUUUGUUGCGCUCACAUUUUAAUAGGAUAGUCGCAUCCUAGAUUAACCUUGGUGACAUGAACACUAUCCAAUAGAAGUGUAUAACAUUAUCAAAAAGUGCAUAACAACCAAGCUAGAAGUGACUAUAAUAUUUUGAAAUGAGUUGAGUUAAAUAGUUUGUUUAUAGAGUCGGGUCCAACAACUAAACCCAAUAGAAAACAAAAAAUUAUAAAGAAAAUAGAAAUAAGAAAAUGUACCCCUACAAAACCUUAUUGGUAUUUUUUUAUGACCUGUUUUAGUUUUUAUUUUACUGAACUUUUAACUUUGGUCUUGUAUUGUUUCUCAAAAUAUAAUAUAUAUAUAUAUAUGUGGUCUUUUUUUACUUGUUAGGCUUUUUUUACAUGUAAAGCUGAUGACAAUUGUAUCAAAAAUUAUGAAGUAGAUGAAGAUAACAAUUUAGAAAUUAUUAACCUUUCAAAGAAUAUAGUGGAAGUGAAGACAUAAGUUGUGAAUUUUUUUUUAUGCUCUGAGUCUAAAUCAAAGGCCUUCGAAGAUUGUUAUAUUAGCCGGUGGAAAACUAUGGAGUGUUACCUCGAGGGAAUACUUCAAUUAGGGAUAACAAAUGAAGUACUUGGAGCUUUAUAAAAUGCUCAAUUCUAUUUCAAAAAAGGAAAAGUUAUUGACUUUCUCUUUAAUGUUAGGUACGGUUGUAGCAUUUAUCUUGAUUCAUAAAUUUUAUUUAUUCUUACUAAUUUAUCAUUUUUGUAUUAUAAGGAAAAUUGUUUCUUAAAACAAGUCUCUCAGCAGAAUCCUAAACCCUAAACCCUAAUCAGAAGUUCAAUAUGUGAAGAAGGUUUUAAAUGAAAAAGCCCAAGUGUAGAGUAAUGUGCAAGGUUACCCUUCACACAUAUUUUGGAGAUUUACUUAAAAUGCAACUUUCAGAAAACAAAAACCCAUUAAGUUGUCCCAAGGAAGUAAGUGUUGGUGAGAACAAAGAGAGAGGAUCCAAAAGCACAAUCUCUUCAAUGUGUUGGCAUUGUCUUCCCUCAGAAGUGUCAGAGUCCGGAUCACUUAAUGUACUUGUCAACUUAAAAUGUGGGAGUAUUUCCGUAGACAACUUUCCUUGUGCGUACAAAAUCAACUAGUGAAAUUCUAUGAAAAAACCAAUCAAAUUGAUGAAGAACGCAAAAUUCUUCUCAAUAGUAUAUCCAUGCUAGUUGAUAGGAACUCAUUCCCCGAAGCCUUCACACGUGUUCCUAAAGAUUGCAUCAAAAGGGCAUAUUUGCAAUCGAAAAGGCAAAAUUGAUAUAUAACAUAUGUUGGUUUUCCCUUAGACACUAUGGCUACAGUGAGCUUAAAAGGAAACAUUUCUGUGAAAUAAACCCGAUGAAGUUUGAACACAUAGUUUCUUGGCUAACAGUAGCAUUUGUGUUGUCUCGUGAGAUUCUAGAAAUUUUUCAAAAGGUGUCAAAAUUACUCGCUGUAGUAUAUGUUGUAUCUAGUUCGAGCUAAGAAGUGUCGUUGACAUCUUUUACUAAAGAUCUGAAUGAAACCUAAUGGGCGACAUAUUAUCACCAAGCAUCAAUUGCAACUCAUGCUACUGCCGAGUUUCAUUCACAAUUAACUGAGAGAAUCAAGGGUCAACGUAAUAGCGGAUCUUUUUUCAACUCACGUGACACAUCCGGCUGGCUUGGUUGGGUUUGUUCCUAAAGGCACUAUAUAUCUCAAAGAUCAUAUGAAAAAGUUUUUGGUUGGUCUCUCAAGCUCAACAAUCUUAAAUAUCACUGUACUUUGACUACAUUACACUCGUUUUCUGCAACGACAUGCCAAUGUCUCAAGCAUGGAUAUUAGUGUCCAGAAUUUGUUUUGAAACUCAGUCUGUUGUGAUGUUAUUACCUUUGAUUAUAUUCCACGAGAUGAGAUUGAUUUGAAUAAGUAUAAAUCGAAAGAUAAGCAUGAGUGGUCUUGCCCGUGGAAUGGUUUAACUGUGGUUGAUGAAAUCGUUCCAUCAUUCAGAGCAUUGCUUGAAGAAAACUUCUUUGCAACAUUUCCUGAUGAGCAACUGGAUAUUGAUGAACGUUUUGAAACAUUGUUGAGGAACCUUGAAGAUUCAUGGUUUGGCUCGUGGAAAUCAUCCUUCUUGGGGAAAUAUUGAAUUGCCAAAAGUUUGAGUCGAGACUUUAUAAAGCCGUAGACUUUGUAAAAAUGAAAUGCAAAGUAAAAAUAAAUGAGGAUAUUUUAAAAAAAAUUCUUGGUUCUAGGAAAUAUGAUCGUGAAGGAAAAACAUUGGAUUUACAAUUUUGCUCAGAGAAACAUUGUUAUAUAGCAGGAGUGGGCUACAUUAGUAAAGUUGAGAGUGGGAUACUCCUUAUUGCCACCGAUACUGGUGCAUAUCGGGAUGCUUUAGAAUAUUUAAAUAAAACACUCGACAAAUUGGACGUGAAUGAUAACAGUAAUAGAAAGCCUAUAAUUCUUGUAUUGGAUUAUGAGGUGCAGGUAAAUGAAUUAUUUUUAUGUAUUUUUAUGGUAAUAUAAUCAUAUUUUUGUUUGUAGUUCAAUAACAAGUUUUAAUGUUGUGACAAAUGCUUCCAUGGGAAUGUUUUCCCAUAAUGAAGAAAAAAGAAAUUUAUCGCAUGCCUUCUGUUAGCAGCAUCUUUGCUAAUAUAGAGAUAAAGAGUUUUUGCUCUAUAGAUUCAUUUUAUGUAAUAAAUUCAGGGGACGAAGUAGACAUCCUUGAUUCUACCAUGAAUUUUUUCAAAAGGAAAAGAAUUGAGGAAUUAUACACUGUGUGCCCGCCCUCGACGAAUUAAUUUAUGCUUUGGAGAAAUACAACAUGUAUCUAUACAUGUGGCAUGGCUGUGGAUCACAUUUACUUGCCUAUGAUGCGAUCAAGAAACUAGAGAAGUGUCCUGCUGCAUUUCUAAUGGGUUGUGAUAGCGGUGCAUAUGUCUUAAAUGGAAGUUAUGCUCCAAUUUGUACUCCCACGUCAUAUCUUUGUGCUGGUUCUUCAUUUGUAGUUGCCAAUCUAUGGACUGUGACAAGUUGUUAUGUAGAUAAGACAAUAAGAACUAUGUUUACGGAUAUGUUGAAAGCAAGAUCUGACUGGAGUUCAAAAGGCAAGGAGCUUGAGCAUAAGAACUACAAAAGUACGAUUGGAGCCAUGGUGUCAAUUGCUCGUAACAGCCAUGCUUUACUGUUGGGGGCGGGUACAGUGUGUUUUGGACUUCCUACUACUAUUUGUAGAAAAAAGAACGUAGCGUCUUCUAAUCCCAACAAGCGCAGAAAGUUAUACUGAGUAGUUUAUGCAUAUUCUUAAGCUAGGAGAGGUUGUGAAACCAACAGAUAAGCAAGACUUGUUCUGAAUUACUUUCCGAUGGAGAAGAACAUUAGUAUAUUGCACUUGAUCAAAGGGUACUUGACCAUGGCACAAUUCCUCUCAACAGUUGUUACUUUUGUCGAAGGUAAGAUACUUGGGAAAAGCUGAAGGAGUUGCUACUGAGUAAGCCUUGAAUAACUCAAAAGGACUAGAUUAUUCUUCUCAAUUAAGUCACUGACAAUAUCAACUUGUGGCAGCCGAGUAAGUCUUGGCUUAAGUAUAUAGGAUAUUUCAUACAAUCUCUAUGGCAAUACGAUUUAAUUUUAUGGUUCUUAUGUU